GAAAAUUGUUUUCUUUUGAGUUGUGUAUAUGAAAUGAAUUGUGAGACAGCCUUGCUGCCGUGUGCUCAUCAGCAGUGACGUAAUCAGUAAUUGUUGCACCUGUUCUAGUAAGUGCCACCUGGAAAACAAAAAGAUCAUUGGAUUCAUAUGGUUCUAUUUCUUACCCUUCUGGGUCAAUUUUGAAGCACAGUGAUGAAGCUGUACCAAGAAUGGGAUGAAGUGUCUUGUUCUGCCAUUUGCUUUACUGGACACAGGAUUUGAACCCUGGCUUUAAUAGAGUAUAAUAAGAGAUUCCAAAAGGCAACAAGCAGGGAACGGUCAAACAAUUAAUGAACAGUUAGUGGCAGAAGCAUUGCGGAAAGUGGAAUCAUCAUCCCAGAUGAAUGAAGAACGGAUUUCUGGUCUUACCUAAUCAUUUUGGCUGCAGCAAGAUGAAUUACUGAGGACAUCCAUUAAAAUGAUGAUUGUAAUUCAGCUCUGUAGUUACUGAAGUUUGGGGAACCAGAAGGCAAGAUCGUUACUUUUACUGAGUGCAGCAAGAAGUAACGCAGCUCAAAAAGAAAUAUUGAAUUAUGAACCUCCUUUCCCUUCUGUUUUGGUCUGGCAUAGCGGGGUGCCACUCAAUGUGACCUUACUGAUCCUCUGCCAAGGUCUAGCUUCACUGUGGAGCAGCGCUGGCCAUACUAAAAGAUGGCAUUGA
rnacentral:lncRNA from 1 species